UGUGGUCUCACAAGGAAGCGUUGGAUGUAUUGAACAAACAUGCGGGAACUGAUAAAGUUAAAGGGUUGUGUAUUGACUUUGGAGGUAGUUCAAGAAGCCAACACCGAUUGAUGAGUGAAGGAUUUGCUAAAAUGACUAAACUCAGGUUACUCCAAGUUGAUUAUGCAUACUUUGCUCCAGAUUCCAUCCCUUCUUUUUCAGAACUGAUAUGGUUUAGAUGGAAAGGAUGCCCUCUGGAAUGUACACU